UUUUUGAACGGGUUGAGUUUUUCUCGUUUUUUGAUAAUUAAAUUAAGUUCAUAGACUACAUUUCAAAUUUAUAUUACAUUAUAAUUAGGGUUUUUUUAUAGUCUACAUAUUUUUUAAUGAUAACAUAUUUAUAUAAACACAUAAGCUUACAGGAUGAAGUAGGAGUUAAUUAAGCUAUUUUCUUAUUUUAUAUACCAAUAACCACAAGUGCAAAACAGAUUGUAUUAAUAUAACAAUAUAUAUUUACUAUUAAUAAAAUAAGAAGUAGGCCCAAAAAGUUAAAUGACAACCUUUUGUAAGUAGAUAAAAAUAGGAUUUUAAUUUAAUAGAUUAUAGAUCUUCACAUAAAAAGUUCAUUAAUUAAUGAUUAAUCCACCGCAAAUCUUGCACUUACUAGCAAGAUAUAGAGUGUAUAAAGUUAUAAACCAAAUCCAUAGAUAAUUUUGUCACAAUGGCUUAACAAAAACUUUAACUAGUUUUUCUUGGUUGAUCGUCAACAUAGGAAAAAUAUAACUGGAAUGUAGACCAAAAAAAGUAGACAAAACAUGGAUGGUAAAUAAUUUGUAGCUAUUAAAGAAAUUAACGAAUUUUUUUUUCUGAUUAAACUAAUAGUUUCUCAAAUAUGUGGAAAUGCUAAUCUUCGAGUGGAAGUACAACCCUCAUUUAGAUGGACACUUUCUUUGAGUAUUUAAAUGGGCCAUAACAACCGAGAGCUUGCCUGCUACUACACCACUAUCAUGUAGUUAACAUAUUUUUUUCAACCACAAGCAAAUAGCAAGGAUAUAAUCCAUUGCUAAUCGAUAUUGGCUAAGGACCUUUCAACAAUGCGUAUGGGUGUCGUUGAUUGAUAUUUUUAGCUUAUGCUAAAUUAAAUCAAAUUACCAGAGAAAAAUGUUUCAAAACAAAAUAAACGUCAAUAUUUUAAAAUAGAAAGAGAAUAAAACUAGUCAACCAGCAUUUUCGGAUUAUCCAACAAAAAUCUACAACUAAUUAUAUAUAUAUAUGUUCACAUAUGGUUUUGUAUCAUAGGACAACAAAUCGUUUAUUUGGAAAAGAAGAACUACAAUGUCGUCAAUAAAAUUAGCUAUAUUUUGCAUUAUCCUCCUUUCUUUCGUUAGUCUUCAUGAUUGUAUGUCUAAAGGUUUCGCAAUAAAUUUCAUGCCGUGCAAAAAAGGAGUUGCUGGUGACUGGUGCUGCACUAAAGGAGGGUUAAUAUGCGUAAAGGACCAUGCAGAAUGUGCGCAAAGCUGCAUUUAACAGGCUAAACCUUAAUAAACCAAAUUGUAAUUUUCUUUAAAAAAUAAUUUUUUAUAAAGACAAUCUUGCCCUUACUAGCAAGAUGGAGUAUAUAAACCUAUAAACCAAAUCCAUAGAUAAUUUUUUUUUUGGUAAAAUGUUAAAUACAUCCAUAGAUAAUUUGGUUAUUUUAAGUGUAUAUGUGUAAUUUUUUUAUAUAUUAUUGUGCAAAUGUGAUAUUUUCUUAUCACUUAUCAAAUACGUAUUAUGUUUGUACACGCAUUAACGUUUAUGUAUAUUUAUAUAUUUUCUUACGUAUGCUUUCAUGCUAUGAAUCCUUUUUAUAGGAUCGUUAAAAGAUACUUAGGAUUAUUUUCACCAUGCAAUAGAUUUCUACCCGGGGCAGGUUUAGACGUCACCUGAGACAUCAGACAUAAUGCAACAUAAUUCUUAAAACUUUAAUAGCUUUCGUCCAAUCUCCGGCGAAUUUUAUAUGUACGCUCAUAUAGCCGUCUUGUGGUGCAGAAGUUAUAAAAAUGGAUGCAUGCAUCGAUAUAUAAAUAUAACCAUCACAUGAAUCUAUAUUAAAUGAGUUUAUGAUUCUUUAUUCCUAUGUGUUUUAAACGUACCUCUCAAAUGGUGAGACUUUUGGGCAGUUUAUAAACAUGUAAAUGCCAUUCAAUAUGGAUUUUUAAUGUUUUCAUGGCCCAAAAUCUCAUUCUAUCAAAAAAUGGUCAGGAAUCCAUCGGAAAGCUUUUGUGGUGGGUUCUACCUUUGAGCUUUAAAUGGCUUGAUUAUGAUUUAUUAUAUUGAUAACAUAUACAAACUAGUUUUUGGGUGGGUUCUACCUUUGGAUUUUAGAUUAGGGGCACUUAUGCUAAAAUGAUACACAAAAUGUGUAUCAAAUUAUAUCCGAACCGGUUGUUCUUGGGACAAGCGAUGUGCGACGUGGCAGGUUGGUGAUUGGAAAAAGUUUCUCUCACGCGGGUACGUCACUGUUUAAAGGAGACGGUAAUGUUACGUAAAGGUCGCAUAAAGGUCCCAUAUCAAUAUAAAAUUUAAUGACACAAAGUAUAUAAAACUGUGAGGUUGCUAGUUUGUAGUUUUUGGAUUAGUUUUAUUUUUUAUUUUUUCCAAAAGCUAUUUUUCAUCUAAUCAAAAUUUUCAAAGACUUGAUUCACUAAAAUAUAGAGAAACUAGUUUUUUUCAAAACAAAAAUUUAUUUGUUACACAAAAACCAAAAGAUAUGUUUUCAUUGUUUCUCAAAUCUUAUACAUGGGUUUUCAGUUUUUUUUUUUAAUUUUGUUAAAAAAAUAUUUUUAUUAUAUUUAUGCAUUAAUAUAGAAAAUAAAUAAAUGAUAAUUUCUAUAGACAAAUAAGGUCUAGUAGAAUCAUUUGCUUCAAAAAUAUAUUAUGAAAAUAAUUUCUAUUAAGAACAUUCUAAGAAAUUGUCAAUAAAAUUAUAUUAAUAAUUUAAAAUAUAUUUUACAUGUUUUUAUUUUUAAGUUUGUUUUAUUUAGAAAAAAAUAACUUCAAAGUUAUUUUCCAAAAAAAAAAUAACAGACUAAAAUCAUUAAUUAAAUUUUAAAAAAACUAACAAUCCAAAAAAAAAAUCAGAAUUCCAAAAACAAAAAAAAAUCUAAAAUCACAUUCGUGUUUUCACAAAUCUAAAAUCUACUGUAAAAUUAGAAACCAUAAUUAAAAAAAAAUCCUAAACCCAAAAAGUAAAAACAAAAAACUAAAAACCAUGUAAACAAUCCAAAUCUGUAUAUCAUGGAAAGAUGAGUUCAACGAAAGAAUAAAAGAGUGAACAACCCUAAGUCUUUUUUGGUUUUAUUGUGUUAGUCGUAUUAUGUAUUACAAUUUAUUAGUUGGCAAAACAAUACUCAAAAUGUGUAAUCUAACAAAAUCUGAAAAAAAAAUAACUCUCUUUCACAUUAAAUAUAUAAAUAUAAAAAUAUAGAUUUACACACUGGGAGAAAACUUUGUACCAAGAAGAAAACUUUAAUUACAAAAAUCUUUUAAAAUAUGAUAAUAAACAAUCAAAACAAUCUGUGGUGCCUAAAAAAUAAUUAUAAAUUUCUAAUAUAAAUAAAGAAAACAUAAAAUAUUAAAAGUAUUCAGAUGCAACUGAUGAAAAAAAUUGAAUAU